CAGAGAGUGAAGCCUGAGCUGCAGGAGGAGAGCCUGCAGGCCUCCUGGGUAAAAUUUCACCUUCACAGUAAUGGAAAUGGGAGCAGUGUUUCAACUCCUUUCUACUUAUAAUGGUGACAAGGAAAAAAUACUGCUGAAUUUCCAGCAUGAGUCCAGAUAGAGAUAGCUCCAAAAGCUCUCACUGUGACAGCCCAGCUUAUUCAGAAACCAUGUGAUACAAAUAGAUCUUCUGAAACAGACACCCAAAGCAUUGGAGAGAAAAACAUUAUCUCCAUCUGAGCAAGAUUAUUUUGAGAAAAAAGUUAAAAUAAUCUAAGAAAAAGCUCAGAUUAGAUAUAAGAUUGAUCAUGUCAGUCAGAAAAUAUUCCCCUAAAAGAAAUCUCUCUCUAAACACCCAAAGUGCAAGCUACUCUCAGCAUGAGAAAUGAGCAUUAUGAAGGAGGCAGAUCUUAAGAAUAAUUUUAUAAAGUUUCUUUUCCAUCUCUGCUGUUCCCUCAUCUCCUAGCCAUUGAAUGGAGGUUCUAUAUUGAAAUACAUCUGACAACUUCAAGCAACACUUUUUGA
rnacentral:lncRNA from 1 species